rnacentral:rRNA from 1 species
GACGAACGCUGGCGGCGUGCUUAACACAUGCAAGUCGAACGGUAAGGCCCUUCGGGGUACACGAGUGGCGAACGGGUGAGUAACACGUGGGUGAUCUGCCCUGCACUUCGGGAUAAGCCUGGGAAACUGGGUCUAAUACCGGAUAGGACCACUGCCUGCAUGGGUGGUGGCGGAAAGCGUUUGCGGUGUGGGAUGGGCCCGCGGCCUAUCAGCUUGUUGGUGGGGUGAUGGCCUACCAAGGCGACGACGGGUAGCCGGCCUGAGAGGGUGACCGGCCACACUGGGACUGAGAUACGGCCCAGACUCCUACGGGAGGCAGCAGUGGGGAAUAUUGCACAAUGGGCGCAAGCCUGAUGCAGCGACGCCGCGUGAGGGAUGACGGCCUUCGGGUUGUAAACCUCUUUCAGCACCGACGAAGCGCAAGUGACGGUAGGUGCAGAAGAAGGACCGGCCAACUACGUGCCAGCCGCCGCGGUAA